AGUGAACGCUGGCGGUAGGCCUAACACAUGCAAGUCGAACGGCAGCACAGAGGGACUUGCUCCUUGCGUGUCGCGUGUCGGACGGGUGAGAGAUACAUCUGAAUCUACUCUGUUGCGGGGGAGAACGUAGGGAAACUUACACUAUUACCGCAUACAACCUCCAGGUGAAAGCACAGGAGCUCUUGACAUUGCGCGCGUUAGUAAGCCGAUGUCGGAUUAUCUAGUUGGCGGGGUAAAGGCCCACCAAGGCGAGGAUCCGUAGCUGGUCUGAGAGGAUGAUCAGCCACACUGGAACUGAGACACGGUCCAGACUCCUACGGGAGGCAGCAGUGGGGAAUAUUGGACAAUGGGCGCAAGCCUGAUCCAGCCAUACCGCGUGGGUGAAGAAGGCCUUCGGGUUGUAAAGCCCUUUUGUUGGGAAAGAAAAGCAGCCGGCUAAUACCUGGUUGUGAUGACGGUACCCAAAGAAUAAGCACCGGCUAACUUCGUG
rnacentral:rRNA from 1 species